rnacentral:lncRNA from 1 species
CGGUGUCGAUGUCGGUGACAUCUUUCUCAAUAACCUCGGCGUCGACCUCGACGUCGGCGACGUCUUUCCCAAUAACCUUAGUGUAAACCUCAAUGUUGGCGUCUUGUCGUCGGCCCUUGGGGUCAAUCUCGACAUAGGCGUAGGCGUUUUUCUCAACAAUCUCACCUCAGCAUUGAUCUUGACCUAGAUGUCGGUGUCGACCUCGACGUCGAUGACAUCUUUCUUAACGCCUUUAGUGCCAAUCUCUAUGCCAGUGUUCACUUCGAUGAGGGCGCCCUGACGUCGAGGGCGUCAACCUCGGGUCGGCGUAGGCGUCUAUUUAAUGAAGGCAAGGGUGUCUCAACGUCGGCGUAGGUGUCCACUUCGAUGAGGGCGCCUCGACAUCGACUUCUCUUCGUCUCUCUUGACGAGGGUACCUCGACGUCGGCUUCUAUUUCGAGAAGGGUGCCUCGAUGUCGGUGUCCAUUUUGACGAGGGCGCUUCGACUUCGGCUUCAACAAGGGUGCCUUGAUGUCGACGUCUAUUUCGAUGAGGGCGCCUCGAAAUUAGCAUCUAUUUCGACGAGGACACCUCGAAAUCAGAAUCUAUUUCGACGAGGGCGCCUCGAAAUUGGAAUCUAUUUCAACGAGGGCGUCUCGAAAUCUGCUUCUAUUUCGGCGAUGGCUCCUCGAAAUAUGCUUCUAUUUAGGCGAGGGCGCCUUGAAAUCGGCAUCUAUUUCAGCGAGGGUGCCUCGAAAUCGACUCUCCUAUUUGACGAGGGUACGUCGACGUCGGUGUUCAUUUCUAUGCGGGUGCCUCGAAAUCGGCGUCUAUUUCGACAAGGAUGCCUCGAAAUCGACUUGCCUAUUUCGGCAAGGAUGCCUCGAAAUCGACUCGCCUAUUUCGACUAGGGCGCCUUGAAAUCGGAGUCUAUUUCGACGAGGUCGCCUCGAAAUAGGAGUCUAUUUCGACGAGGUCGCCUUGAAAUCGGAGUCUAUUUCGACGAGGUCGCCUCGAAAUCGGAGUCUAUUUCGACGAGGUCGCCUCGUAAUUUUCUCAGCAUCAAUCUUAACGUCAGACUACGUAACAACGUCGGCCCUCGCAACCACUGUCAUGGCUUUGAUACAUACUCCGUAUUCCAUUCUUCUAUUUUCCGUAUUCCAUCCUCCUAUUGGCGCCCCCUGUUUUUCUUAGCUAUGUGAGCAGACGCUCAGAAAGAAAAACAAAACAAACGUAAAAUAUUCGAGACAGGGAGCCGAGCAAAACAAUAAAGAAUUGAAACCAAAUUGGAAUGGAGGAUCUAUCUGUCUCGCAUUGCGUCUGAACAACAUCCGGGGAUGGGAUUACCCUCGCUCCCUAUAUAGAACCGAUUGCAGAACCGCCAUAUCCUGCAUAGUCAAAAUUCAUCACGCCAUCCCACCCCGCGUGCAGCGAGGGUGUGGUCCAUCAUCCCACCCCGCCCACGGCGAGGAGUGAGGCACGCCAUCCCACCCUCACCUGCAGAGAGGGUGUGGUCCAUCAUCCCACCCCCGCCCACGGCGAGGAGUGAGUCACGCCAUCCCACCCCCGCGCACAGCUAGGGUGUGGUCCAUCAUCCCACCCCCGCCCACAACGAGGAGUGGGGCACGUCAUCCCACCCCAGCCCGUAGCGAGGGUGUGGUCCAUCAUCCCACCCCCGCCCACGGCGAGGAGUGAGGCACGCCAUCCCACCCCUGCGCACAGUGAGGGUGUGGUCCAUCAUCCCACCCCCGCCCACGGCAAUGAGUGGGCACGCCAUCCCACCCCCGCCCGCAGCGAGGGUGUGGUCCAUCAUCCCACCCCCGCCCACGGCGAGGAGUGAGGCACGCCAUCCCACCCCAGCGCAUAACGAGGGUGUGGUCCAUCAUCCCAGCCCCGCCCGGAGUGGGGCACGCCAUCCCACCCCCGCCCGCAGCGAGGGUGUGGUCCAUCAUCCCACCCCUGCCCACGGCGAGGAGUGAGGCACGCCAUCCCACCCCCGCGCACAGCGAGGGUAUGGUCCAUCAUCCCACCCCCGCCCACGGUGAGGAGUGAGGCACGCCAUCCCACCCCCGCCCGCAGCGAGGGUGUGGUCCAUCAUCCCACCCCGCCCGCAGAGAGGGUGUGGUCCUUCAUCCCACCCCGCCCUCGGCGAGGGGUGAGGCACGCCAUCUUACCCG